AGAGUUUGAUCAUGGCUCAGGACGAACGCUGGCGGCGUGCCUAAUACAUGCAAGUCGAGCGGACAGAUGGGAGCUUGCUCCCUGAUGUUAGCGGCGGACGGGUGAGUAACACGUGGGUAACCUGCCUGUAAGACUGGGAUAACUCCGGGAAACCGGGGCUAAUACCGGAUGCUUGUUUGAACCGCAUGGUUCAAACAUAAAAGGUGGCUUCGGCUACCACUUACAGAUGGACCCGCGGCGCAUUAGCUAGUUGGUGAGGUAAUGGCUCACCAAGGCAACGAUGCGUAGCCGACCUGAGAGGGUGAUCGGCCACACUGGGACUGAGACACGGCCCCAGACUCCUACGGGAGGCAGCAGUAGGGAAUCUUCCGCAAUGGACGAAAGUCUGACGGAGCAACGCCGCGUGAGUGAUGAAGGUUUUCGGAUCGUAAAGCUCUGUUGUUAGGGAAGAACAAGUACCGUUCGAAUAGGGCGGUACCUUGACGGUACCUAACCAGAAAGCCACGGCUAACUACGUGCCAGCAGCCGCGGUAAUACGUAGGUGGCAAGCGUUGUCCGGAAUUAUUGGGCGUAAAGGGCUCGCAGGCGGUUUCUUAAGUCUGAUGUGAAAGCCCCCGGCUCAACCGGGGAGGGUCAUUGGAAACUGGGGAACUUGAGUGCAGAAGAGGAGAGUGGAAUUCCACGUGUAGCGGUGAAAUGCGUAGAGAUGUGGAGGAACACCAGUGGCGAAGGCGACUCUCUGGUCUGUAACUGACGCUGAGGAGCGAAAGCGUGGGGAGCGAACAGGAUUAGAUACCCUGGUAGUCCACGCCGUWAAACGAUGAGUGCUAAGUGUUAGGGGGGUUUCCCGCCCCUUUAGUGCUGCAGCUAACGCAUUAAGCACUCCGCCUGGGGAGUACSGGUCGCAAGACUGAAACUCAAAGGAAUUGACGGGGGGCCCGCCACAAGCGGUGGAAGCAUGUGGUUUAAUUCGAAGCAACGCGUAGAACCGUUACCAGGUCUUGACAUCGUCUGACRAUUCUAGAAGAUAGGACGUUCCUCCGGGUCCAGAUGACAGKUGAAUGCACAUUGAAUGCA
rnacentral:rRNA from 1 species